CUAGCGGUCAUUUGAUUAGCAGGAAUUGUGGAAUCAAAUUUCUAUUUUUUAAAGAAAUGGGAAUCGCUUAAUCAAAGACUGAUUCCAUAAUUGAGGACCCAUUCCAGAAUGGAAAUUUGGAGACAAAAACUGAGUUUGGGGAUCUCAUUUUAAUUUCGAAAUCGGAAUUCUGAACCGUCCAUGAAUUUUUCUUCUCCCGUGCCUGCGAAGCUUUCUCCCUUGCGCAAAGAAACCAUCCUGGCCUCCUCCCCAUAAGGUCGCCCUCUUCUUCUUCGUCCACCUGUUAGCAGUGCAAGUAGCGGCCAUUGCAGCCCUGAUUCAACUCUUUCUCUCCCCGAUAGUGGUGCUUUAUUCGGUGAGGAUGCCAGUUGAGAACUCUUUGACAACCACAUGUCCAGGAGCACAAGUCGACGAAGAUGGUUGCUGACGUGAUCCUGUCAAAGGCCAAUAACAAAUAGACAAAACUAGGUAUUCAAAUUUCUGAGAGUCAUGCUCGAGAAACUAGAAAGGUGUAUGGAAGACUUCUUAUGGACUGAGUCUAGCAAUCAUAAGAAAGUGCAAAAACUAGCAUGGAGGCUGAUAUGUAGGCCGAAGAAUGAAGGAGGAAUAGGCAUUUGCCCAUUAAAUGAGGUGAAUGAAGUCCUACUUGCUAGCAUCAAAAAAGGUAAAAGUCUAUGGACAAUCAAAAAGGGAUGGAAGGGGCUAGAAGUUGGAUCAGCCUUGGGCGAUGAUGGGGUAAGAUUGAAAGAAUGGAUAAGUUCAAAGUUAAUAGUUGGUAAAAUAUUAACUUCUGGUCUGAUUGGUGGUACGAUGGGAUCCUUCUUUAGCAAACAGAUGGGCAGGAUUACGAGAGAGUCUCCAAGAUCCCAAACCUGUUGGUAGCUUGUGCAAAAGGGGCCACUAUAAUGGAGAUUAGAUGCAUGUAGCUUGCCCUCCAAUUCCUUGAAACUCUAUUUCUUAAUGAUGAAUGAGGUAAACUGGUUUGUAGGACUCUAGACCUAAAAAGCCUCCAAUCUGUUGAUAUGUGGCAUGCUAUUAGGUGGAAAGGACCAAUUAAAAAUUGGAGGAACAAUUUCUAGAGGUCAACUAUUCUAGUGAGGGCUAGUUGGAUCAUUUUCAUUGCUAGUCAUUAUAGACUUUUAACCAUGAAUAGGCUUCAGAAACAUGGUAUGUCAAUAGCUAUAGAUGUUUCCUAUUUAAGAGGGCAGUAGAGAACAACUAGCAUGUAUUUGUAGAGUGUGAAAUUGCAUUGCAGGUGUGGGGCUAGUUGUCAAAGAGUUUCAAACUUCUGCAUUCUAGUAUAUGAUUUCGUGCUGCGCCGCACACAAGUAAACAUGUAUUAGCAUAAGGUUUCGUACUUCAAUGCCCCCAAAUUAACUUAUCAUUGCGUAAGAUUUCAUGCUUUGGUGUAUACAAGUACAC